rnacentral:lncRNA from 1 species
UGGUCGUACAGGAGAAGAGCAGGGGCGACACCCCACUCUUACAAACCUAAAAAUCACUAGAACUCUCAAAUUGAAGGUUAAAUCCUGUCCCAAAUCAAAAUCCGAGCAUAGAUUAUUGAUCCUCAUCGCAAGAGGAUUCCAAGGUGAUUAAUGGGCGAAGAAUCCGGAACGUCAAGCGAACAAGCCGGAGGUGAUACACGCUUGAAAGGUGUACUUUGAAGGUACGUAACUACGGUUCCGUUACAUUAUGCUUAAAUUCGUAUUUUCGUUAUUAGGCUUCAAAUUAGCAUAAUAUAUGAAAUUGACAUUUAAUGGAAGUGUCAAAGAUCACUAGGUAAAUAAACGGGUCAAAAGGUGAAAUUAUCACCCUUUGACAAUAUCGACUAAUGGUUUGUCGAGUUAUUUGUUUAUAGGAAUAAAUAUCAAACGGAUACGCACAUCGCUAUUGCUUAGCGGCUACUAAGUCAAGGUAUUGAAACGGGUCAAUAUAUUGAUCUGAGCCAGGUAUGUUUAAUAACACACCUCAUCAAGUAGAGUUUGGAGUUCUAUAAGAGUUAGACAAUGUUAAAGUGUAGAUAUUCGGUUAUCUUUAAGGUAAACCGAAUAAAUUUAAUUAUGUUCAUGGUGUUUUAGAAGUACAUGGGUUUAUAAAUAAGAUUAUAGUUAGAAGGGUCGGAUUUUGGGUCAAUCAAGUAUUUAAAGGACCCUGUAGUUAAAGAAGAAUGAAAAUUGACCAAAUUGCCCUUGUAAGCUAAUUCAGACGAACGACCCUUAAAGGUGGUUCGAAAUAAGUUUUAUGAUUAUAUAAAUGCUUAGGAUAAGUUAGAUAGUGAAAAACAUAAAUUCUUUGGUCGAAGGGCUUUAUAUGAGUCUUUGCCGUAAAAGGGUAAUCCGAGGGGUAAUAACUCGGAACACAUAGAAGUCCGCCUUAAACCCAAAACAUAUAUAGUUGUAGUGGGAGAUUACUUGUUGAGAAAUAUAGGGAUAACAUGCUAGAAAUGAAUGAAAGCAAUUUCAAACUUUAAAGUGCUUAAAUAUCUUUAACGGGUCAAAAUAAGCAUACGAGCGAAAACGGAUUUAAAUUGUCUAAUAAACCUAUGAAUAGAACCUAAUAUAGUAGGUAACAUAUAUUAGAAGAAGUAUAUGAGAUAUAGGAAUCAAAUAAAUAGGUUUGUUUGAUAAAAUGCAUAAACGGGUUAAAAGUCGGUAUAAAGGGUAAUAAGCCGAGGAUUAAAAGUCUGAAAUUUUAUUAAGUUGAAUGUUGGGUUUUAACUCCAUAAGAUGGAGGAUUUAAUUACGGACGCGUAGGAAAAAGAAUCGCGUAAAACGGAUCAAUAACGAAGAAGUUAUGGCCGUUUCCGUGAAAUCGAGUUGAGCCGGGAAUGUACAGCGACAGCUGAAGAAACCUGGUGUAAAAAAAGGGGGCUCGCGUGACACCUAGGCCCUAGGCGUCACGCGACACCCCUAACUCCGAAAAUUUUUAAUUUUUUGUCAUUUUUAACCCCUGUACUUGUAUGAACUAAAUAUUUGACUAUCAAAACUAACUUUUAAGUUGGUUUUGAUCAUAGGUGAACGUCAAGGGUGCACGGAUGAAGAUCAAGCGUCGAGCAAGAACCGAACACGAUUACGAAAUAAGCUUCCGCACUACGUAUUGUUAUUAUGUUAAACGACGAAUGUACACAUGAUAUGUUAUAGACUUUUUAAAUCUUAAAAAGUUUUAAUAAACCCGGAAUUUUUAAU